CCAAACUGACAUACACUGACAUAUAUGUCACUUAUAUGCAACUUCUUCCUGACUUAUAAGUGAAGUAUAUGCUACAUAUAAGCCACAUAUAAAUCACAUAAAAUCUAGUCUAAGUCUGUUAUAUGUAUAAGUCAAUUAUAUGUCAUCCCAAAUUUUAACAUAUAAGCCACUUAUAUGCCACAUAUAUGUUUCCUAGUAUGUAUCUGUCAGUUAUAUGGAUCUCUUCAGUUUUCUUUCACAACCACAUAGAAGUGAGAACUUAGAAAAUUUUUGUAGUGGUUUGUUAUCUUGUUGGCUGAAAAUUUCUAAGUCCAAAUUGUGAGAAAAAAUUGUCUAAAUAUGUGUAAAUAGUUCUGUUAUUAUUUGACACCACACAAUGGGUAUCAAAAUAUCCAGAAUUUAAUGAUCUAUAAUACUGGAGCACUUCUUUUUUUUUCAAAUAUAUAUUUUGAUAUUUUUAAUUAUUAUCAAAGAGUGCAUCAUUAUGAAACUGUAACUGCAGAGUAGAUAAUAAGCUUGAGAGUUUGCAUUGAAAAAACCUAAAAAAAACCAAAAAAACAAACUAGUAUAUGAAUGGUUUUCUUAGGGGUGGUCACACUGUAUAAGCUAGUCAUUUCUUUGUUUCAAAUAAUAGUACCAAAACAAAUGUAGUAAUUUAUAAGGAUUAAGUCAUAUAAUCCAACAAAUUAUUAAUUAAAUAAUACUAUAUAUGUUACAUCAUCAUAACUGAAUUAGUCUAUUUCUUGGAUAAUUGGCAAUGAUUUAUUAUCUAGCUUUUACAGUCAGUUAAUACACUGCUGUUCAAUGUAUACUGAUGUAUAAAUAAACACACAGAGAUAGCUGAUAUGACCAAGAUAAGAACCAAUGAAAAUGCAGGCUUCUGAGGCCAUUUUACACCUGUAACCAAAGAAAUAAUCCCAACAUUUCUGUUCAUUUCUCUGUGAUCUUUGCAAAUUCUUUGAGCAAAUAAAUUGACAAAUUCUCACUUUAAUUAUAAAUAUAUAUAUUAGUAACAUUUUAGAUAUUCCCUUCAGUAGCUACAUUGUGCUGAAGAAAAUUGCUCAUGAAUACCAAAAAUUUGAAUGUAAACAGGAAGUGCUUUGUUCAUGUUGUUGGAGGCAUUAAUGGAGUGGAGAUAAAUAAUAAUUGUGAAGCUGGAAAUUCUUAAAUCCAUUCAGAGGGACAUCAGGUAAAAGAGUGAGUUCCAGCAACAUAUAUCUUCUAAAAUAUGUGUGAUCAGAUAUAGAAUUUUAUAGUUAUUAAUGGUUUUGGAGGAAAAUGAACAGAAAUUUGGGAAAAAGUAACAGAUUAUGUACGCUGCGGAGAAAGAUGCCGUUCAGGCGAUCAACCAGAAAUGUGCUGAUGCCAGGUCAACGUUAGCAGCAUCGUGCAAAAAAACAAACUUAACAUUUAUGACAACGCACUGAAAAUUUGCUGUGUAUAUAGUUUUUACUUAUAGCGUUAAAUUUUUUAGUGAAAUGACAUUGUUGAUAUUUAAUUAACUUCAUUUUUUUCUUUCUAAAAUGCUAUUUUAUGUGUAUAAACUGUUCUACUUUUAGUUAGAAGAAACCUGAACAUUGUAAAUAUUAACUUUGUUCUCUUUUUUGUUAUUGGUGAUUUUUUUGGACUGAAAUACUCAAUGUACAUAAAGUUUAAACUUAAAUUAAUUAAGUGAUAAUAACAAUA